GGAAGGCGGGCCGAGGUGUGGCGAGCACUCUCGUGCCGGACGUUGCGCGGCCGUGACGCCCGACGCCAACGCUGGCGCCGCGCUCCUGUUCCGCGCGGUUCAUCGUCCGGAUCAGGAUCGCGAGGCUCCGUCUGGGCCAGCGCAGAUUCUUAGACUCUGUGAGUAAAGACAGCUUCGUCUUCCCAGUUCAUCAUGGCUUCAACAUCCAGAGAUGUCAUUACUGGGAGAGGUUCCCACUCAAAGGUGAAGUCUGCAAAGCUACUUGAGGUUCUGAAUGCUAUGGAGGCGGAAGAGUCUAGUAACAACAGGGAAGAGAUUUUCAUUGCACCUCCUGACAAUGCUUCAGGGGAAUUUACUGAUGAGGACUCGGGUGAUGAAGACAGCCAGCGAGGUGCUCACCUUCCUGGCAGUGUGCUGCAUGCUUCAGUCCUGUGUGAGGACUCUGGCACCGGGGAGGAUAAUGAUGACCUGGAGCUGCAGCCAGCCAAGAAGAGGCAGAAAGCAGAUGUGAAGCCUCAGCGCGUUUGGACCAAAAGAGAUAUUCGUCCAGACUUUGGCAGUUGGAUGGCAUCAGAUCCUCAUAUUGAGGAUCUGAAAAGCCAAGAACUGAGUCCUGUGGGCCUUUUUGAGUUGUUUUUUGAUGAAGGAACAAUUAAUUUCAUUGUUAAUGAAACCAAUCGUUAUGCUUGGCAGAAAAAUGUCAAUCUGAGUCUUACAACUCAGGAAUUGAAGUGUGUUCUGGGCAUUUUGAUUUUAAGUGGGUACAUCUCUUAUCCAAGGAGAAGGAUGUUCUGGGAAACCUCUCCUGAUUCACAUCACCAUCUUGUAGCUGAUGCAAUUAGAAGGGACAGAUUUGAACUAAUCUUCUCAUACCUACAUUUUGCAGAUAACAACGAACUUGAUGCAAAUGAUAGGUUUGCCAAGGUCAGACCUCUCAUCAUCCGGAUGAACUGCAAUUUCCAGAAGCAUGCACCCUUGGAAGAGUUCUACAGCUUUGGGGAGUCUAUGUGUGAGUACUUUGGGCACCGGGGGUCCAAGCAGCUGUACACAGGGAAGCCUUUGCGACUUGGGUACAAGAUUUGGUGUGGGACAACCAGCAGAGGCUACUUGGUUUGGUUUGAGCCCUCACAGGGCACACUUUUUACCAAGCCAGACAGGAGCUUGGAUCUAGGAGGCAGUAUGGUAAUAAAAUUUGUGGAUGCACUUCAGGAGCGUGGUUUUCUGCCAUAUCACAUAUUUUUUGACAAGGUUUUUACAAGUGUUAAACUGAUGUCCAUUUUGAGGAAAAAGGGGGUGAAGGCCACAGGAACUGUUCGUGAGUACAGGACUGAGCGAUGUCCCCUAAAAGACCCCAAAGAACUGAAAAAAAUGAAGAGGGGUUCAUUUGAUUACAAAGUUGAUGAGAGUGAGGAGAUCAUUGUGUGCCGCUGGCAUGAUAGCAGCGUGGUCAACAUUUGCUCCAAUGCUGUGGGUAUAGAGCCAGUGAGGAUGACUAGUCGUCACUCUGGAGCAGCUAAAACGCGGACUCAGGUCCACCAACCAUCACUGGUGAAGCUGUAUCAGGAGAAGGUGGGGGGUGUUGGUCGGAUGGACCAGAAUAUUGCCAAGUACAAGGUGAAGAUCCGAGGCAUGAAGUGGUACUCAAGCUUCAUUGGCUAUGUCAUUGAUGCCGCCCUCAACAAUGCAUGGCAGCUACAUAGGAUCUGCUGCCAAGAUGCCCAGGUGGACCUCCUUGCCUUCCGGAGAUACAUUGCCUGUGUGUAUCUGGAGAGCAAUGCUGACACGGCCUCCCAAGGGAGGCGAAGCAGGCGGCUGGAGACUGAGAGCCGCUUUGAUAUGAUUGGGCAUUGGAUUAUCCACCAGGACAAGAGGACCCGAUGUGCCCUCUGCCACUCACAGACCAAUACCCGGUGCGAGAAGUGCCAGAAGGGUGUCCAUGCCAAGUGCUUCAGGGAGUACCACAUCCGGUGACAUCGUGAGACAUGCUUGUUUGGUUUAUAAUGAGAUGUUUAUAGCUCAUUACAGAUUGCAGUAUUUCAGGGCAACUAGGAAGGGGCGUGCAUCCGUGGAGAAACUGUGAGCAACAGUGUCUGUGCUGGGCCUUGUCGCCAGCAGAGGGCCCACGUACCUACUCCUGAGCAACUUUGCUCUGAGGUGCCAGAAGCAGCAAGGAGCUUUAUCUUCCUCAGGG